GACGGAGGGGGCUAGCGUUGUUCGGAAUGACUGGGCGUAAAGGGCGCGUAGGCGGUCUGUCAAGUCAGGCGUGAAAUCCUUGGGCUUAACCUGAGAAUUGCGUUUGAUACUGAUAGACUAGAGGACGAGAGAGGAAAGUGGAAUUCCGAGUGUAGAGGUGAAAUUCGUAGAUAUUCGGAGGAACACCAGAGGCGAAGGCGGCUUUCUGGCUCGUACCUGACGCUGAGGCGCGAAAGCGUGGGGAGCAAACAGG
rnacentral:rRNA from 2 species